rnacentral:lncRNA from 1 species
AUUACCUGCUCCACCCUGACUCAUUCCAAUUACCUGCCUGCCUUGGCUCAUUCUGAUCACCUGCCCCACCCUGACUCAUUAUGAUCACCUUCCCCAACCUGACUCAUUCUGAUCACUUGCCCCAUCCUGACUCACUCCAAUUACCUGCUCCACCCUGACACGUUCCGGUUACCUGCUCCUGCCUGACUUCUCCUCCACUCUGACUUAUUCCAUAACCAUUUUUCCCGCUAAACCACUCACCACAUCACUCUCUUUAAAUUAGCCAAUCGGAAUUAGUUUAGCCUGUGCAGUCUAACCCUAGCCAAUAGGGGAACGACACAGCAGCAGGGGCCACGUGCAUCAGGAAUAAGAACCCCUUUCCCACCCAGGUGUGUUCUCGCUAUUGUUCCAUCUGCAACUGAGCACCUUUUCUGCAGAAAGUAAAGACAGCCUUGCUAAGAGAUCAUUUGUCUCCAAGCUGACUUUUCUUUGCAGCACCGAUUAUCUAUUUCUAACAAUUUUGGGGGCUCGUCCAGGAUUACAGUCUCCUCUAGGGUGGGUCUCCAGUCCUCUCUUGUGAGAAGGCAUGCCCCACUACCUCGUUUUUGGCAGCCUCAGGGGUGAGGAACCGAGAUCCACCCAGUGUGAUGAAUAAACUGGGACUCUCAGCAACGUGGAAAGAAACUGGCUAGCAACGUAGGGUAAAGGAUCCUCACAUACUGCGGUAAUGACUCUGCACAGACCAAGGAAGGAGAAACCAUGGGAGCUGAGGCGUAUUGCUACAUUUGGGGCAAUGCGUACAUAUGUGGUUUCGUUAGCUCCAGCGGGGGCUAAUCCUCUGACAGAGCCACCUCUCACACGAAACACUGAAUGGAGGCGAUCCCGAGAUGGAUGGAGCAGCAGCAGCGCAGGUUGCUGCAGCUGUGCUGCCAGAGAUUGUAAUUCAGGAACCAAUCUCAAGCUGAGCAGAGGAAAAAAUGAGAUGCUUCAUGAAAAUGGCCAAAUGUCAUCACCAGCUAUUUUGUGAGAAGAGCUAUGUUAGGAGCCAUCCACAUGUAAAAUGGACUUUCACCAAAUUCCAUCCAUCUGCCGGUCAUGGAAGCUCACAACAUGUAUGUCUCCUGAGGGAGCCUUUUCGUUUUGUGCUUUUUCUGGCACUAAGAAAUACAGACACUUGUGAUUUACUACUGGGCACUUAUAGGAAUGGAGUCAACUAUUUCCUAAGAAACUCAAAGACUGAAAUGAGAAAUUCAGAAAAUAAAAAUAUUUUCUGUGUUAGAAAACUAUAUACCAGAAAGCCUGAAAAGUGAGGCAAAGGGCACGAAAUUCUGGUUAAUAAGAUGUUGUAGAUUAGUGAGAACUUGAAAAUGUUUUUGCUUCUAGUAUAUUUUUUGGAAUUUCUAAACUAUAUUAGCUCCCUUUCUUACCUUAGGAAUUACAGUAUUGUGAUCAUGUGAGAAGAUAGUUCUAAAUAUUAAUAAAUAUUUUUAACUUCAUCAAAUA